AGUGAACGCUGGCGGUAGGCCUAACACAUGCAAGUCGAACGGCAGCACAGUAAGAGCUUGCUCUUACGGGUGGCGAGUGGCGGACGGGUGAGGAAUACAUCGGAAUCUACUUUUUCGUGGGGGAUAACGUAGGGAAACUUACGCUAAUACCGCAUACGACCUACGGGUGAAAGCAUGGGAUCUUCGGACCUUGCGCGAUUGAAUGAGCCGAUGUCGGAUUAGCUAGUUGGCGGGGUAAAGGCCCACCAAGGCGACGAUCCGUAGCUGGUCUGAGAGGAUGAUCAGCCACACUGGAACGGAGACACGGUCAAGACUCCUACGGGAGGCAGCAGAGGGGAAUAUUGGACAAUGGGCGCAAGCCUGAUCCAGCCAUACCGCGUGGGUGAAGAAGGCCUUCGGGUUGUAAAGCCCUUUUGUUGGGAAAGAAAAGCAGCAGGUUAAUACCCCGCUGUUCUGACGGUACCCAAAGAAUAAGCACCGGCUAACUUCGUG
rnacentral:rRNA from 1 species